CCUGCCUCAAUUACUGUGCCUGGUUAUCUUUAUUAUGUUUUCAAUUUAUACUUUGUCCUCUGCAGGUGUCUCCCAGAGAUACGCACACCUGGAUUUACAGGCAGUUCCUCAUGCAGUUUUGCUGUCAUCCCAAUAGGAGACGUCAUCUUUGGCUCGUGUUUGUUGGAAGUACUGAAAGGCAGCCUGAAUUCCGUCUCUCUUUCACGAGGGCACCUUUCUAGGCUUGAAGAAGAGAGAAGCUCAGGCAAGUCAGGUGCUUUCCUGGGAGAAUUUCUUUGGAAGGACGGGGCUUUAAGCGUUUCCCUAGUGACUCUAUCUGACAAAAAAAUCAGGUACUCAAGAAAAAAACCAAAAAAACUCAUGUGGAAACUACUUAGGAUAUAUAAUUAUUGUAGCUUCAGUGCAAAAACACCAAGAACUAAAAUUCCAUGAGAACAAAAAACUUGACAGACUUUUCUCAGGGCCUGGUGCCUGCAAGAUGCUUCCUAAAUCUUUUUCAGAGAACAAAUUAAAAGACGAAUGGACAAAUAUUAUUGUGAUCUACUGAUGAAUUCUGAGCUUUCUGCCUGAGUGCAUAUCUACAGCCAGCAUUUCCUAUGAUGGCCAAAGUUUCCUUACUCCUGAAUAAUUUGACAAGGCCAUAGAACACAAUCCUAAGGCAAACACAUUGUUAUUCAACAAAUGGCAGCCUCAUGACAGGGCUUCAUGGCACCAUCGAGCUCUCCUUCCUCAGAUGGGUUUUCAGCAAAGGGGAUUAUUGUUGUAAAAGUUAUGAAGGGACUGAUCGAGGUUUCUAGUAUGUUCUUAGACAUGAGGUCAAGGAGGAUUGACCGUACACAAAAGCCCAGGCAGGGCUGAAAGACACGCAUGACUUUGGCACAGAUCAUGCCAUUAAAGGAGAAGCCUGGGGGAGCCAAGAGCUUUGCUGGAAAGUUGAGAGUAAAAAGGACACCACUAUCCACAAAGUGUGUGUUGUGUUCACAACGUAAGGAAGAAACGCUGGUUGAACUGAAGCUGGAUUAAGCUACACUGACUUCACUCGUAUUCUUAACAGCCUGCGACUGCAGAGCACGUCCUGGCUAUUUGUUUUCAAUAAUGUCUAAGACCAAUCAUACGAUUAAUUUUUGAAGAAAAUCACCCAUCGAUUGUGGCCUAAGGGUUUAAACGCAUCAUCCUCUGCCGCUCACCUCCUCUCAGCAGUGACCUUCGCCAAAACCUCAGUUCAUGAUUAGGCUUUAGCAGAAAAGAAGGAAGAAACAAAUAAGGGUCUGUUAGACGUCCAGAUGCGGCCCUACAUUCCAAGUAUACAAAUGUGUUUUUAAGCCAACACUGAAUUACGGCAUCAGUCUAAUCUCUCAUCUUAGAACAGAAGAAAGAUGGCAAGUAAAGGCUUCGGGCCCAGGCAGAGGAAGGCAAGGGAAGAGAAAGUCCACAGAGGAGAGAGAACGAGUAAAACACUGCGGUCCCGAGAUGAUGACAAUAAACUAUGAAUAAACUGUUAAUAUGUGGAUCAUAAAUAACGGCAGUUAAUCAUGAUGUAAAAAAAAUUAAAACCAUUACUAAAGGAUAGAAAUUCUUAGAAUAGAUAAAAACAACCCUUAAUUUUAUGUGUCAGCUUGUCUGGGAUAUCGAGUAGCCAGAUAUUUGGCCAAAUGUUAUUCUGGGUGUUGCUGUGACUGUGGUUCUGGAUGAGAUGAAUAGUUUAAUGUGUAGGGUGAAGGAGAUUUGCUCUCUACAAUGUGGGUGGGCCUCGUCCAAUCAGUUGAAGGCCAUCAUAGAGCAAAAAGUCCGAUCCUCCCUGAAAAGGGGGCGAUUCUCCAGCAGAGGUCCCUGAAACUGGAACUUCAGCUCUAGAUCUCCAGCCUGCUUCCCACCUGCAUUUUGGGGUG
rnacentral:lncRNA from 9 species